rnacentral:lncRNA from 1 species
UACUAUUUAUGGUGAUUUUUCACAUUCACGUCACUGCUGCUGUCAAAGAAACUGCUUCUUUGAAUUAGUUACCAUUUAAACAUACAUAACUCCAAAACAUAUUCUUUAAUAACUACUUCAAUAGCUAACAUUAGCCAUAUCAUUUGGACAUGCUCAAAAUGAUUAAGACUCUAUACAUGCCAUAGUUUAAACAUUUUGAAAAGCACAUAAUACCGAGAUGGUUAUGAUAGUGUGAUACGAGCUCCGACGGUCCACUAUUCGAUCAAGUUCAAAUCACUAUAAAACAAAGGAAAAAAAGAGAUGUGUAAGCUAUAAAUAGCUUAGUAAGUUACAUGUAAACAAUAAUUACUCAUUUAAUAAUUAACACUUUUAACAUAUAACUAAUCAAAACAUUUCUUAGCAAUUUCAAUCACUUACACAUACACAAUCUUACCAAUUCACUUGCAUAUACAUUUUCACACUUAACAUUUCAUAUUCACUUUAAUUCAUUAUUAAUCCCGUUGAACACUUGGAAUAUACACGGAUACGUAGAGAUUUAGCACAUAAGUGCCACACUGAUAUGUAGUCGAAGCUACCACUGAAUGUAGCCAAAGCUACCACUGAAAUGUAGCCGAAGCUACCACUGAUCAAUAACACUGGAAAUGUCCACGAGCCUGCUCACACAAGCUGUCAGGCGUCUGCAACACAUGCUAGAUCACCCAGCACCCGGGACUCACUGUAACACUGUAACACUGUAACACUGGUCUCUAGUGACAUGUCACUUGUAUCCAAUUCUAUUCCUAAGUUCAACCGGGAAUUUACACUUAACACUUUAUUUUCAACACUUUAUCACUUGAAUAAUUCAUGAACAACUUUCCUUCCACAUUCAAUAUUAAUUCACAUAUCAAAUAUAAUUCACAAUUUAUACAAAUAUAACUAUUAUUUACAUAUAACUUACCUCGGAUGCAAAACGACUAUUUUUGUAAUUUAGUCGAUAACUUUCUCUUUUCCCCGAUCACUUGCACUAUUUCUUCUUUCUUGAUAAUUGAGCUUAGGAAAAUCAAAACCCUUAACUAUGGUAACCUGAAACUUUCGGCAGCAAGCUUCUGAUUUUUGAAGAAGAUGGACACUUAUUUUCUCUUUAUUUUGUCUUUUACCCAAUUUGGACAAAAAUGCCCUUGACCCAUUACUUAGAUAUUUUUCUAGAAAUACCCUUUUGUGUCCAUAACACUAAUUUAUGGUCUAAUUGCCACAUAAACACUUCCAAUUUCAUGCAAUAAUUCAAUUAAAUCAUUUAAUCACUAAUUAGACACACUUUGCAUUUUUCUCAAUUUAGUCCUAAAAAUUCAAUUAAGCACUAAAGCAUUAAAAUUUCCUAUCCAUAUUUUCACACAAUAUUUCAAUCAAUCAGUAACUAAUAAAAAUUUAUAAAAUUAAACUAUUUCACUUCGGAUUUGUGGUUACGAAACCACUAUUCCGAUUAGGCCCUAUUUCGGGCUAUCACAAUUCUCCCCCCUUAGGGAUUUUCGUCCCCGAAAAUCUUACCAGUGAAUAAGUUGGGAUACUGUUUCCUCAUAGCCUCCUCGGUUUCCCAUGUUGCCUCUUCCACCCCAUGUCGUUGCCAUAACACUUUCACUAAAGCAAUUUCUUUGUUUCUCAACUGUUUCAUUUCUCGUGCCAAGAUUCGAAUCGGUUCUUCUUCGUAUGUCAUAUCCGAUCGAAUUUCCACUUCAGUCGGUGAAAUCACAUGUGAUGGGUCCGAUCGAUAUCGCCUCAACAUAGAAACAUGAAACACAUUAUGAAUUCUUUCCAAUUCCGGUGGUAAAGACAAUCGAUAAGCCACUGGACCAAUUCUUUCUAUCACUUCAUACGGACCAAUAAAUCUUGGACUUAAUUUGCCUUUACGGCCAAAUCUCAAAAUUUUCUUCCAUGGAGACACUUUCAAAAAUACUUUAUCUCCCACUUGAAACUCAAUCUCUUUUCUUUUCAAGUCCGCAUACGACUUCUGUCGAUCCGAUGCAGCUUUCAAACAAUCACGGAUUAUCUUCACUUUUUCUUCGGUUUCUUUUACCAAAUCGACUCCAUGUAACUGAUUUUCAUUAAGUUCGGUCCAAUAUAAUGGAGUCCGACACUUUCGUCCAUACAACGCUUCAUAAGGUGCCAUUUUUAUGCUUGACUGAUAACUAUUAUUAUAAGCAAAUUCCACCAAAGGUAAAUAUCUUUCCCAAUUACCUUCAAAUUCCAAUACACAACAUCUCAACAUGUCUUCGAGUAUUUGAAUUACUCUUUCAGACUGUCCAUCGGUUUGGGGAUGGAAUGCUGUACUAAAAUUCAAUUUAGUACCCAAUGCCUCUUGUAAUUUCUUUCAAAACCUUGAAGUAAAUCGUGGAUCUCUAUCAGAUAUAAUAGACAUAGGUACACCAUGUAAUCGGACUAUCUCAGCAAUAUACAAUUCAACUAACUUGUCAAGUGAAAAACUCAUUCGCACAGGAAUGAAAUGAGCCGACUUAGUCAAUCGAUCAACUAUAACCCAAAUUGAGUCUUUCUUUUUCGGUGACAAUGGCAAUCCAGAAACAAAAUCCAUAGUAAUUCUAUCCCAUUUCCACUCGGGCACCAUAAUAGGUUGAAGUAAUCCUGAAGGUACUUGGUGUUCAGCUUUUACUUGUUGGCACACUAAACACUUUGUCACAUACUCGAAGAUAUCCCGUUUCAUACCCGACCACCAAUAAAAUUUCUUCAAAUAAUUGUACAUUUUUACACUACCGGGGUGAACUGCCAAAUGACUAUCAUGUGCUUCUUGCAAAAUUUUCUGAAUUAAAUCAACAUUUUUCGGAACACAUAUUCUAUCAUGAAACAUUAAACAUCCAUCUGAAUCAAUCUGAAAAUCAGAAUUAUUGUCCACUGCACACUGAGUCUUUCUUCUUUGCAAUUCAUUAUCCACUUUCUGAGCCUCACAAAUUUCUUGAAGAAACAAUGGUCUAGCUUUUAACUCUGCAAACAAUGAUCCAUCUUCAGUCAAUGUUAAUCUCGUAUUCAAAGCUCUCAAAGCAAAGAGAGACUUUCUGCUCAAAGCAUCAGUAACUAUAUUAGCUUUUCCCGGAUGAUAAUCUAUCACAAGUUCAUAAUCUUUCAACAAUUCCAACCAUCUUCUUUGCCGCAAAUUCAGAUCUUUUUGUGUCAUAACAUAUUUCAAACUUUUAUGAUCUGUAAAAACACGACAUUUCUCACCAUAUAAAUAAUGACGCCAAAUCUUCAAAGCAAAGACAAUAGCAGCCAACUCUAAAUCAUGGGUAGGAUAAUUUCGUUCAUGCGGUUUCAAUUGUCGAGAAGCAUACGCUAUCACCUUUCCUUCUUGCAUCAAUACACAUCCAAGCCCAUUUAGUGACGCGUCACUAUAAACAACAAAUUCCUUUCCUGACUCAGGUUGCACUAACACUGGUGCCUCAGUUAAACACUUCUUUAAUUUCUCAAAACUUUGUUGACACUCCUCGGUCCAUUCAAACUUAACAUCUUUUUGCAACAAUUUUGUCAUCGGUGAAGCUAUCAUCGAAAAACCUUCUACAAAUCGACGAUAAUAUCCAGCUAAGCCCAGAAAACUCCUAACUUCAGAUACAUUUCUUGGAGGCUUCCACUCAACUAUUGCCGAUAUCUUAUUCGGAUCCACUCGAAUGCCAUCUCCCGAGACAAUAUGCCCCAAAAAUCCAACUUCACUAAGCCAAAAUUCACUUUUGCUAAAUUUAGCAAACAAUUUCUUUUCUCGCAGCGUUUGUAGCACAAUUCUUAAAUGUUCAGCAUGCUCGGCUUCACUUCGGGAAUAAAUAAGAAUAUCAUCUAUAAACACCACAACAAAUUUAUCCAAAUAGGGCCGGAAAAUUCGAUUCAUCAAAUCCAUAAAAAUAGCUGGAGCAUUAGUCAGACCAAAAGGCAUUACAAGAAAUUCAUAGUGGCCAUAUCGGGUUCUGAAAGCAGUCUUUGGCACAUCUGACUCUUUAACCCUCAAUUGAUAAUAUCCGGAUCUCAAAUCAAUUUUGGAAAACAUUGUGUCAUCCUUUAACUGAUCAAACAAGUCAUCUAUUCGGGGUAAUGGAUACUUAUUCUUCACUGUCACUUUGUUAAGUUGACGAUAAUCAAUACACAAUCUCAAUGUCCCAUCCUUUUUCUUCACAAAUAGCACGGGAGCACCCCACGGAGAGUAACUUGGUCUAACAAAUCCUUUAUCUGUCAGCUCUUGUAAUUGCACUUUUAAUUCUUUUAAUUCAGUUGGUGCCAUUCUGUAGGGAGCAAUCGAUAUUGGAGCAGUACCUGGCAUUACUUCAAUACCAAACUCUACUUCUCUAAUCGGAGGCAAACCUGGCAACUCUUCUGGGAACACAUCUACAUAUUCACAUACCACUGGCACUGAUUCGAUCUUUAUUUCAGACACUUUUGUGUUCAACACAUAAGCAAGAUAUGCUUCACAACCAUUUUUCAAACAUUUCUGAGCAGACAUGGCAGAAAUCACAAUUGGCAUCACAUUUGACUUAUCUGUUUCAACCCGAAGAACUGUACCACUACCACACUUCAACUCAAGAAUUUUCUGACUGCAAUCUAUCUUGGCCUUAUGUAAUGUCAACCAAUCCAUUCCCAAAAUAACAUCAAAUUCAUCAAAUGGCAACAACAUUAAGUUGGCAGGGAAACACUGACCUUGUAUAAUCAAAGGACAAUUUUUGCAUAUUUUAUCAACUAUCACAUGCUUGCCUAAAGGAUUCGACACUUUAACCACAUACUCAGUCAAUUCAACACACAAGUUCUUAUCAGACACUAAAUUCAUGCAUACAUACGAGUGAGUAGAACCAGGAUCAAUCAAUGCAAGAACAUUAGUGUCGUAAAGAGAAAAUAUACCAGUGAUCACAUCAGGAGAAGAUGCUUCCUCUCUAGCUCGGAUGGCAUAAGCUCUUGCUGGAGCUCCCACUUUAGAUCUUACAGUCGUGUCUUUUGUUACGCCUCUACCACUAGUUCCAAUCCCCACAUUUCUCUGUGGUCUUCCUCUAGUAGUCACACUGCUCGAUCUCACAUUCUGAAACUUUUCUAUCUCUUCUCUUUCCGGACAAUCUUUCACAAAAUGAUCUUGAGAUCCACAUUUAAAACAAGCUCGGCUGAUUAAAUAACAUUCCCCAAAAUGUCAUUUUCCACAAUGUUGACAUUCCGGUCUAGUAGGUUUAACACUACCUGUACUUGCCAUAGAAGUUGCCUGAGCUUUAGAACUUGAAUAUUGUCUUCCUCGAUCUCUUUGAAAAUUCACACUAGAAACAUUCGAUCGAGUAUUCAUUUCUUUAAACUUCUUCGCUUGAGACUGAAAUGGCUUGCCCAUUGAUCUUUUUCUUUCAUCUCUUGCUUCACUUUCCACCUUUCUUUUCUCUUUGCUCAAUUCUUCAGCCUUGAUAGCUCUUUCAACUAGUACCACUAACUCUUUAAUUUCAAGAAUACCCACUAGCAAUCGGAUAUCCUCGUUUAAUCCAUCUUCAAACCUUUUACACAAUGUAGCUUCAUUAGAUACACACUCUUGGGCAUACUUGCUUAAUUUGACAAAUUCUCGCUCAUAUUCGGCUACCGUCAUGCGCCCUUGUUUCAAUUCAAGAAACUCUUUUCUCUUUUGAUCAAUGAAACGCUGACUCACAUACUUCUUCCGGAAUUCUUCUUGAAAGAAGUCCCAUGUAACUUUUUCUUUAGGCACCACUGACACUAAAGUUUUUCACCAAUUAUAAGCCGAAUCCCUCAGCAAUGAGAUAGCACAUUUGAGGCUUUCUUCUGGAGUACAAGAUAAUUCAUCCAACACUCUGAUAGUAUUAUCAAGCCAGAACUCUGCUCUUUCAGGAUCAUCAUUUACAUUAGCUCGGAACUCUUCGGCUCCAUACUUUCGAAUUUUGUCCACUGGAGGCUUUGACAAUUUUAACACUUCAGUUUGUUGAGGAGCUAUGGGAACAGCUUGAGGAAUAGGAGGGGGCGGAGGAGGUUGAGCAUUAGGAUUAGUUCUAACAAACUCAGUGUACCAAUUGUUCAUCAUUUGGAGAAAAGCUUCUCGAGCCUCAUCUCCUUGACCCUGAGUUUCGAAUCGACUUUCAACAGGCACAUUACUUUGAGCAUCAUCAGCUGUAUCUCGGUUAGAAUCCAUUACUAAAAAAAAAAAUUUAAGAUGUCAGGAGUCGUCACACUAUCAUUAUUCAAUUAUGGCAUGUAUAGAUAGUCUAUUACACUCGCUACGUUAGUCCGAGAAUCGACUAAACCGUAGCUCUGAUACCACUAAAUGUAACACCCCUUACCUGAGACCGUCUCCAGAAUCGAGUACGAGAUGUCACCCAAUUUAACUUACCGAUUCGGAGCAUAAAAAUUUGCUUUUAAAAUUAAAUUCACUGUUCAUAACAACACUGUCCACCUGCGCAACUGUCACUAAUUUAAUUAUAACUUGAGUUACGAAACUCAAAAUUUAAAUCCGUAAAUUUUCCGUAAAACUAGACUCAUAUUCCUACUUAUCAUAAAAUUUUCAGAAUUUUUGACUUAGCACAUUAGUACAGUUUAUUCAUUAAAGUAUCCCCUGUUUCACAGCUUGACAGAUCUGACCUCUUGGCGCUAAAAAUCAAAUAUCUAAUUGUAAAGAAUUCAUAUAAGGUUACCAUUAAUUUAUUUUGAAAAUAUACUCACUAAGGAAUCUAAACAUAUAAAUUAUGACCUAUAAUUAUUUCUGUACAAUUUAUAAUGAUUUUCUAAAGUUAAAACAGGGGACUUCAAAAACCAUUCUGACCCUGUCUCACUAAAAUUUAAAUAUCUCAAAAUAUAAAAUUCCUUUGCCUACACCGUUUCUUUCAUGUAAAAAUAUACUUGAUAAGCUUUAAUUCUAUAUAUCAUUCACCCUCUAAUUCCAUUUCUACUAUUUAUGGUGAUUUUUCACAUUCACGUCACUGCUGCUGUCAAAGAAACUGCUUCUUUGAAUUAGUUACCAUUUAAACAUACAUAACUCCAAAACAUAUUCUUUAAUAACUACUUCAAUAGCUAACAUUAGCCAUAUCAUUUGGACAUGCUCAAAAUGAUUAAGACUCUAUACAUGCCAUAGUUUAAACAUUUUGAAAAGCACAUAAUACCGAGAUGGUUAUGAUAGUGUGAUACGAGCUCCG